rnacentral:rRNA from 1 species
UACGUAGGGGGCUAGCGUUGUCCGGAUUUAUUGGGCGUAAAGAGCGUGUAGGCGGCCAGGUAGGUCUGGUGUGAAAACUCGAGGCUUAACCUCGAGAUGUCAUCGGAAACCAUCUGGCUAGAGUCCGGAAGAGGAGAGUGGAAUUCCUGGUGUAGCGGUGAAAUGCGCAGAUAUCAGGAAGAACACCAAUGGCGAAAGCAGCUCUCUGGGACGGUACUGACGCUGAGGCGCGAAAGCGUGGGGAGCAAACAGG